AUGUUAAACUGCAGGUACAUUAAAAAUCUACGGAAAGUUUGUGCCAGGUGGAAUAGGUGGCUGACCUCUUGGCUCCAGUGCAAUAGGUUACUUAGAGAUAUGGCUGUGGACUUUGUGAAGCAUCUGGCAUUAAGCCAUCUCAUCAUGGCAGGAAGAUAUAAAUUUAUAUCCUGUGUCGGUGUUUGGAAGACAAGGAGAAUUCUGCAAAUCAUAUGCAGAGACCACACUGUACUUGUGGGAUUGAGCUGGGAACCAGUUUAUUAAACCAACAAAAUGAGACAGGAAUUAAAAAGAGUUACCUGGAAGGUUGCACCCUGGUACAGAAGAAUUGAGAGAGAAGCGGGGGAAAAAGUUCAUAUUUAAGAAGAACACUAACAGAAUUCAGAACACCAACAUUUCUCAUUUAUCUGGACUAGCAUAUUUAUUGG
rnacentral:lncRNA from 1 species